rnacentral:rRNA from 1 species
GUGGGGAAUUUUGCGCAAUGGGGGCAACCCUGACGCAGCGACGCCGCGUGGAGGACGAAGUCUUUCGGGAUGUAAACUCCUGUCAGUGGGGACGAUAAUGACGGUACCCACAGAGGAAGCACCGGCUAACUCCGUGCCAGCAGCCGCGGUAAGACGGAGGGUGCAAGCGUUGUUCGGAAUUACUGGGCGUAAAGCGUAUGUAGGCGGCAAGUUAAGUUCAAUGUUAAAGCCCACGGCUCAACCGAGGAGAUGCAUUGAAUACUGGCUAGCUAGAGGGUGCUAGAGGAAGACGGAAUUCCCAGUGUAGCGGUGAAAUGCGUAGAUAUUGGGAGGAACAUCGGUAGCGAAAGCGGUCUUCUGGGACAUACCUGACGCUGAGGUACGAAAGCGUGGGGAGCAAACGGGAUUAGAUACCCCUGUAGUCC